rnacentral:rRNA from 1 species
GACGAACGCUGGCGGCGUGCUUAACACAUGCAAGUCGAGCGGUAAGGCCCUUUCGGGGGUACACGAGCGGCGAACGGGUGAGUAACACGUGGGUGACCUGCCCUCAGCUCUGGGAUAAGCCCGGGAAACUGGGUCUAAUACUGGAUAUGACUCCAUGACGCAUGUUGUGGGGUGGAAAGCCUUGUGCGGCUGAGGAUGGGCCCGCGGCCUAUCAGCUUGUUGGUGGGGGAUGGCCUACCAAGGCGACGACGGGUAGCCGGCCUGAGAGGGCGACCGGCCACACUGGGACUGAGACACGGCCCAGACUCCUACGGGAGGCAGCAGUGGGGAAUCUUGCGCAAUGGGCGAAAGCCUGACGCAGCGACGCCGCGUGAGGGAUGACGGCCUGUGU